CACGGGGAGGUAGUGACGAAAAAUAACGAUACGGGACUCAUCCGAGGCCCCGUAAUCGGAAUGAGAACACUCUAAACCCUUUAACGAGGAUCAAUUGGAGGGCAAGUCUGGUGCCAGCCGCCGCGGUAAUUCCAGCUCCAAUAGCGUAUAUUAAAGUUGUUGCGGUUAAAAAGCUCGUAGUCGAAUCUGUGUCCCGCGCCGCCGGUUCAUCGCUCGCGGUGUCAACUGGCGUGUCCGCGGGACGUCCUGCCGGUGAGCUUAGCUUGCGCAAGUGGGCGGCUCAACUUGAAAUCCCAUCGCGGUGCUCUUCAUUGAGUGUCGAGGUGGGCCGGCACGUUUACUUUGAACAAAUUAGAGUGCUUAAAGCAGGCUAAAAUUUCGCCUGAAUACUGUGUGCAUGGAAUAAUGGAAUAGGACCUCGGUUCUAUUUUGUUGGUUUUCGGAACUCCGAGGUAAUGAUUAAUAGGAACGGAUGGGGGCAUUCGUAUUGCGACGUUAGAGGUGAAAUUCUUGGAUCGUCGCAAGACGGACAGAAGCGAAAGCAUUUGCCAAAAACGCUUUCAUUGAUCAAGAACGAAAGUUAGAGGUUCGAAGGCGAUCAGAUACCGCCCUAGUUCUAACCAUAAACGAUGCCAGCUAGCGAUCCGCCGACGUUCCUCCGAUGACUCGGCGGGCAGCUUCCGGGAAACCAAAGCUUUUGGGUUCCGGGGGAAGUAUGGUUGCAAAGCUGAAACUUAAAGGAAUUGACGGAAGGGCACCACCAGGAGUGGAGCCUGCGGCUUAAUUUGACUCAACACGGGGAACCUGACCAGGCCC
rnacentral:rRNA from 1 species